UACGUAGGGGGCGAGCGUUGUCCGGAAUCAUUGGGCGUAAAGCGCGCGCAGGCGGUUGGCAGAGCCCGGCGUGAAAGCCCCCAGCUCAACUGGGGGAGGCCGUCGGAGACCUGUCGACUUGAGGCCGGUAGGGGAGAGCGGAAUUCCCGGUGUAGUGGUGGAAUGCGUAGAUAUCGGGGGGAACACCAGUGGCGAAGGCGGCUCUCUGGACCGGUUCUGACGCUCAGGCGCGAAAGCGUGGGGAGCGAUCCGG
rnacentral:rRNA from 1 species